rnacentral:rRNA from 1 species
CGUGUAGGCGGCUAAUUAAGUCAGGCGUGAAAUCUCUGGGCUUAACCCAGAAAUUGCGUUUGAAACUGGAUAGCUUGAGGAUCGGAGAGGGCAGUGGAAUUCCCAGUGUAGCGGUGAAAUGCGUAGAUAUUGGGAGGAACACCAGUGGCGAAGGCGACUGCCUGGACGACACCUGACGCUGAGGCGCGAAAGCUAGGGGAGCAAACGGGAUUAGAUACCCCGGUAGUCCUAGCCGUAAACGAUGGGUACUAGGUGUGGGAGGUAUCGACCCCUUCCGUGCCGCAGUUAACACAAUAAGUACCCCGCCUGGGGAGUACGGCCGCAAGGUUGAA